GGUGGCUCAGUGGUAGAGUGCUUGCCUUGCAUGCAUGAGGCCUUGGGUUCGGUUUCUCAGCACCA
rfam:Dipodomys ordii contig_31315, whole genome shotgun sequence.